AUACUUACUUGAUGGGAGAUACCAGGAUCAUGAAGGUGGUUUUUCCAAAGCAAGACUUGUCCAUUGCCCCUCAGGGGUACUAAUCCCUGCAAUCUCCCCACUUGUGGGCAAUAAGUCUGAAAUUCAUACAGCUGGAGAUCAUGCGUUCAUGAUUUCUCUGG
ensembl:snRNA U1 U1 spliceosomal RNA